GCCAGGUGUGGUGGCACACGCCUGUAAUCUCAGCAGCUGGGGAGGCUGAGGCAGGAGGAUCCAGGGUUCAAAGUCAGCCUCAUCAAAAAGCGAAGUGCUAAGCAACUCAGUGAGACCCUGUCUCUA
rnacentral:sRNA from 1 species